AUUGAACGCUGGCGGCAGGCUUAACACAUGCAAGUCGAGCGAGCGGCGGACGGGUGAGUAAUGUCUGGGAAACUGCCUGAUGGAGGGGGAUAACUACUGGAAACGGUAGCUAAUACCGCAUACCAUCAGAUGCGCCCAGAUGGGAUUAGCGAGUAGGUGGGGUAAUGGCUCACCUAGGCGACGAUCCCUAGCUGGUCUGAGAGGAUGACCAUCCACACUGGAACUGAGACACGGUCCAGACUCCUACGGGAGGCAGCCGUGGGUAAUAUUGGCCAAUGGGCGCAGGCCUGUUGCAGCCAUGCCGCGUGUGUGAAGCAGGCAUUCCGGUUGUAACGCACUUUCAGCGAGGAGGCGUUACUCGCAGAAGAAGCACCGGCUAACUCCGUGCCAGCAGCCGCGGUAAUUC
rnacentral:rRNA from 1 species